rnacentral:rRNA from 1 species
UACGUAGGGGGCGAGCGUUGUCCGGAUUCAUUGGGCGUAAAGCGCUUUAAGGCGGUUCGGUAAGUCGGGUGUGAAACCUCCAGGCUCAACCUGGAGACGCCACUCGAUACUGCUGUGACUAGAGUUCGGUAGGGGAUCACGGAAUUCCUGGUGUAGCGGUGAAAUGCGCAGAUAUCAGGAGGAACACCGGUGGCGAAGGCGGUGAUCUGGGCCGACACUGACGCUGAGGAGCGAAAGCGUGGGGAGCGAACAGG